rfam:Ictidomys tridecemlineatus contig104290, whole genome shotgun sequence.
UGGGCUGUAGCUCAGUGGUAGAGUGCUUGCCUAGCAUGCACGAGGCCCUGGGUUUGAUCCCCAGCACUGCAA